CAUACACAACACACAACGAUGUUGUGUCGUGUGCUGCAAAAGUGAAAUAGCAAAAAAAAAAAUUAAAAUAUCUACCAAAAAAAGCUAAUAAAAUUUAUUUGUGAAUUGAAUCGAAAUGAUUUUUUGGAAGAAAUAAAAAUUUGGAAAAAGAUGAAAAAAAUUAUGGAAAAUAAGUGAAAAUAAAGAAUGAUUCAAAAAGUAUAAAAAACGAGAAAAGUGUGUGACAAACAAAAAGUGAACAAAGGAUGUUCUAUUUACCCAACCUAAAUUUAAUUAAGGGCCAAGGAAGAAAUAAAAAAGGAAAAAAACAACACAACAAAACAACAUCCAUAAAUUUCCAUGGAAAUUAUAACGAAAUUAUUGCAACUCUGAUAUCAGUGACCAAUAACACUAACAGUUCAAACAAAAUUUAAUUGAAACGACCUACAAAGAAACAAAAAAUACAACUAGAAAUCAACAAAAAUAACAACAGCAACAAACAAACUUGUUCAAUUAAAAGUAUUUCCAGUCAUAACAAUAAAUUAAAAAGUGAACACGACGACGUUAGCGCCUUACAACUUGGGGUAUACAACUCAAACACCCACCCGCCCGCCUCAACUGGAACAUCAAACUUUCGUUAACCCCAAAAAAGAAACGAAACAAAACAACACCAAAUAAUCGGCAAUGCAGUAAAAAUUCUUUUCAACAAAACAAACAUCAUCAUAAAUUUUAACAGCAUUUGCAUUUUAUUUGACCACACAACCUCUCUCCCUCCCUCACACAUCACAUCGUUGCUUCAAUUCCCACGGAAAUACAUUGCAACCGAUACGACGGAGGACAUUCAUAUUUUUUUUGUUUUGUCAUAGAAAUGGAUUAAAUUGUGUCAACUUGUUAUUUUGUACCACUGCCAAAACAAAUAAAGCAAACAGAGAAAUAAAAGAACCAUUCGAACGAAGCAAAUGUUAAAUUCUAAAACAUCAAACACCAGCAAAGCCAAAACAACAGCAGCAACAACAAUAUCCAACACACCAUUGAUGGUGCAGUGAACUGAAGAGGAGUGCCUGCCAGAAUUGCUUGCAAUCAGUUAACACAAUACAAGGUAUGCUUAUAGUGACUAAAAAUGGAAUGUGUAAGAAGGUGAGUGAGCGUGUGUGCAAAAGUGUCGAUAAUCCUUUCAAAUUUUUUUCAUAUCCGAAAAAAGAACGGAAAUUCACCUGCAGCCAAAUAUGGAUAUUUUGUCAUCCUAAAAAAAGAAGAAUGUAUGUAUAAAGAAAAUUGUCACAUAUAAAAGCAAAUAUUUCUAGAACAAAUUACCUUGGGUAAUUUAAGAAAAAUUGGAUAUAUUUUGAAGAAAAUACCUACGAUGAAAGGUAAGGUUGGUUGUUACGAUGGAAAAUUGUUGCUGCAUGUUUUUUAAGGAAUUUAAUCAAAUAUUGAUUUUUCCUGGAAGAAAAGAAGUGUGGAU